AAGGAGGGGCAGGAGGCAAGGGGGCAAAACCAAACUCUGCCAAUCUUCCCCACCAUGAAGAGCUCCUGCUCCCACCGGGAAACUCUCCUCCGGCCCCUUGGCCUCCUCCCCACCCCCUCUGUCUCUCUGUUUCUCUCUGUCUCUCCCCCCGCACAGACACAACCCUCCCUCCCUCCAUUCCCCUUUCCCCCCGGCCCCACCUGGACAGAUCCUAAUGAUCAAGGACCAGAGCAAACGACUGAAAGAGUUUACCCUCGAGGAGCACAUCCACUGUGAAUGCAGACCAAAGAAAAAUAGCUCUGCGGUGCCAGAGAGGUUAAUCAGGUCGGACACGGUCCCCGUCCUAACCGGUGCU